UGUGAGUAUAAAUAGUUAACUUUGAAACUGCGAAUGGCUCAUUAUAUCAGUUAUAGUUUAUUUGAUGAAGAAUACUAAUUGGAUAACCGUAGUAAUUCUAGAGCUAAUACAUGUAUAAAGUCUUGUAGACUGCAUUUAUUAGAAUGAAAACCAUAGGUUUCGGCCUAUUCGUGAGUAAUAAUAACUAAUCAUAUCGUAUGCUUAUGUAACGAUGUGUCUUUCAAGUUUCUGCCCUAUCAGCUUUCGAUGGUAGUGUAUUGGACUACCAUGGCAGUAACGGGUAACGAAGAAUUUGGGUUCGAUUUCGGAGAGGGAGCCUGAGAGAUGGCUACCACAUCCUAGGAAGGCAGCAGGCGCGUAAAUUACCCAAUCCUGACACAGGGAGGUAGUGACAAUAAAUCACAAUGCGGAACAAUGUUUUGCAAUUGGAUUGAGAACAACGUACAAACCUUAUCGAUAAACAAUUGGAGGGCAAGUCUGGUGCCAGCCGCCGCGGUAAUUCCAGCUCCGAUAGCGUAUAUUAACGUUGUUGCA
rnacentral:rRNA from 1 species